rnacentral:lncRNA from 1 species
AUUCAUCUCAAACUAUUAACCACGGUAACCUGAUAUACAUCUUGGUAAAUCUGAGUUAAUGAUGAAUUAUCAUUUGUUUUACUAACAAAGUAUACUUCAUUUGUCUUAUUUUAAGGAUGUCUGGUUUGCCUGGUGAUUAAGCUAGUAGUCCUGUGUCUCUCAUGAACAGUCUCUUUUUAAUUGAUUUACAAUUAAUUGGAUCAUAUUUGUGGAUCACAGAUAUAGUUUAAAUUGAAUCAAUUAUCUAAUCAAAAAUAACAAUUAAAAAAGAAAAGCAGUCAUUAAAAUACAGUAUAUAAACCCUUAAAAAAUAAUGUGUUAAGUAUUUGUUUCUUAGAAGCUAUUUUAAACAAUAAAGAGGAUGCUUUCAAGUAAAUAUCUUAGAAGACCUCAGGGGGAAAAUGUGAAAUUAGUUCUUUGUGAAAAAUAAAUAUCUAAAGAGUAUUCCCUGUAGGGUACAAUGUAAAAGAAUAAACUAGCUACUGGCAAAAAAGGAAGCUGGGGGAGAAAAAAAAUAUAUAGUUAUCAAUAAGCCCAAAAAAGAGUAAAAUGAAAUGAAUAGUUUGUAACAGAGCUAAUGAAACACAUAUACUUGCAGCAUAUUCUGCUAAAUAAAAACUUUAUAUUGCCUCCUACAUUUAAACCUCUCAUAAAACAGUUGUGCAUUUUUCUAAAAUUGCUCACAAAUGAGCAGAUUAAAUGGGCCCUUUGAGAUUAAGAAAAGGUACAUUUUAAAGGCUUGAGGGGAUAAGUAGGAGGAAAAUAAUUGUUACAGUUUUCACAUUAUCC